rnacentral:rRNA from 1 species
GGGUUGUGAGGUUAAGCGACUAAGCGUACACGGUGGAUGCCCCUGGCAGUCAGAGGCGAUGAAGGACGUGCUAAUCUGCGAUAAGCGUCGGUAAGGUGAUAUGAACCGUUAUAACCGGCGAUUUCCGAAUGGGGAAACCCAGUGUGUUUCGACACACUAUCAUUAACUGAAUCCAUAGGUUAAUGAGGCGAACCGGGGGAACUGAAACAUCUAAGUACCCCGAGGAAAAGAAAUCAACCGAGAUUCCCCCAGUAGCGGCGAGCGAACGGGGAGCAGCCCAGAGCCUGAAUCAGUGUGUGUGUUAGUGGAAGCGUCUGGAAAGGCGCGCGAUACAGGGUGACAGCCCCGUACACAAAAAUGCACAUGCUGUGAGCUCGAUGAGUAGGGCGGGACACGUGGUAUCCUGUCUGAAUAUGGGGGGACCAUCCUCCAAGGCUAAAUACUCCUGACUGACCGAUAGUGAACCAGUACCGUGAGGGAAAGGCGAAAAGAACCCCGGCGAGGGGAGUGAAAAAGAACCUGAAACCGUGUACGUACAAGCAGUGGGAGCACGCUUAGGCGUGUGACUGCGUACCUUUUGUAUAAUGGGUCAGCGACUUAUAUUCUGUAGCAAGGUUAACCGAAUAGGGGAGCCGAAGGGAAACCGAGUCUUAACUGGGCGUUAAGUUGCAGGGUAUAGACCCGAAACCCGGUGAUCUAGCCAUGGGCAGGUUGAAGGUUGGGUAACACUAACUGGAGGACCGAACCGACUAAUGUUGAAAAAUUAGCGGAUGACUUGUGGCUGGGGGUGAAAGGCCAAUCAAACCGGGAGAUAGCUGGUUCUCCCCGAAAGCUAUUUAGGUAGCGCCUCGUGAAUUCAUCUCCGGGGGUAGAGCACUGUUUCGGCAAGGGGGUCAUCCCGACUUACCAACCCGAUGCAAACUGCGAAUACCGGAGAAUGUUAUCACGGGAGACACACGGCGGGUGCUAACGUCCGUCGUGAAGAGGGAAACAACCCAGACCGCCAGCUAAGGUCCCAAAGUCAUGGUUAAGUGGGAAACGAUGUGGGAAGGCCCAGACAGCCGAGGAUGUUGGCUUAGAAGCAGCCAUCAUUUAAAGAAAGCGUAAUAGCUCACUGGUCGAGUCGGCCUGCGCGGAAGAUGUAACGGGGCUAAACCAUGCACCGAAGCUGCGGCAGCGACACUAUGUGUUGUUGGGUAGGGGAGCGUUCUGUAAGCCUGUGAAGGUGUGCUGUGAGGCAUGCUGGAGGUAUCAGAAGUGCGAAUGCUGACAUAAGUAACGAUAAAGCGGGUGAAAAGCCCGCUCGCCGGAAGACCAAGGGUUCCUGUCCAACGUUAAUCGGGGCAGGGUGAGUCGACCCCUAAGGCGAGGCCGAAAGGCGUAGUCGAUGGGAAACAGGUUAAUAUUCCUGUACUUGGUGUUACUGCGAAGGGGGGACGGAGAAGGCUAUGUUGGCCGGGCGACGGUUGUCCCGGUUUAAGCGUGUAGGCUGGUUUUCCAGGCAAAUCCGGAAAAUCAAGGCUGAGGCGUGAUGACGAGGCACUACGGUGCUGAAGCAACAAAUGCCCUGCUUCCAGGAAAAGCCUCUAAGCAUCAGGUAACAUCAAAUCGUACCCCAAACCGACACAGGUGGUCAGGUAGAGAAUACCAAGGCGCUUGAGAGAACUCGGGUGAAGGAACUAGGCAAAAUGGUGCCGUAACUUCGGGAGAAGGCACGCUGAUAUGUAGGUGAAGUCCCUCGCGGAUGGAGCUGAAAUCAGUCGAAGAUACCAGCUGGCUGCAACUGUUUAUUAAAAACACAGCACUGUGCAAACACGAAAGUGGACGUAUACGGUGUGACGCCUGCCCGGUGCCGGAAGGUUAAUUGAUGGGGUUAGCCGCAAGGCGAAGCUCUUGAUCGAAGCCCCGGUAAACGGCGGCCGUAACUAUAACGGUCCUAAGGUAGCGAAAUUCCUUGUCGGGUAAGUUCCGACCUGCACGAAUGGCGUAAUGAUGGCCAGGCUGUCUCCACCCGAGACUCAGUGAAAUUGAACUCGCUGUGAAGAUGCAGUGUACCCGCGGCAAGACGGAAAGACCCCGUGAACCUUUACUAUAGCUUGACACUGAACAUUGAGCCUUGAUGUGUAGGAUAGGUGGGAGGCUUUGAAGUGUGGACGCCAGUCUGCAUGGAGCCGACCUUGAAAUACCACCCUUUAAUGUUUGAUGUUCUAACGUUGACCCGUAAUCCGGGUUGCGGACAGUGUCUGGUGGGUAGUUUGACUGGGGCGGUCUCCUCCUAAAGAGUAACGGAGGAGCACGAAGGUUGGCUAAUCCUGGUCGGACAUCAGGAGGUUAGUGCAAUGGCAUAAGCCAGCUUGACUGCGAGCGUGACGGCGCGAGCAGGUGCGAAAGCAGGUCAUAGUGAUCCGGUGGUUCUGAAUGGAAGGGCCAUCGCUCAACGGAUAAAAGGUACUCCGGGGAUAACAGGCUGAUACCGCCCAAGAGUUCAUAUCGACGGCGGUGUUUGGCACCUCGAUGUCGGCUCAUCACAUCCUGGGGCUGAAGUAGGUCCCAAGGGUAUGGCUGUUCGCCAUUUAAAGUGGUACGCGAGCUGGGUUUAGAACGUCGUGAGACAGUUCGGUCCCUAUCUGCCGUGGGCGCUGGAGAACUGAGGGGGGCUGCUCCUAGUACGAGAGGACCGGAGUGGACGCAUCACUGGUGUUCGGGUUGUCAUGCCAAUGGCACUGCCCGGUAGCUAAAUGCGGAAGAGAUAAGUGCUGAAAGCAUCUAAGCACGAAACUUGCCCCGAGAUGAGUUCUCCCUGACUCCUUGAGAGUCCUGAAGGAACGUUGAAGACGACGACGUUGAUAGGCCGGGUGUGUAAGCGCAGCGAUGCGUUGAGCUAACCGGUACUAAUGAACCGUGAGGCUUAACCUUACAACGCCGAAGGUGUUU